UUUUAAAAAGAAAGAACUACUAAUGGAGAUACUUCCACAGAGUUAAAGCUGAAGAAAAAGGAGAAGGGUAUGUAGAAGAGCUUGGCAAACACCCGGAGGCUGAGCACAGCAGGUUUAAAGACACCGGCAGCAAUGCCUAGCUGUCCCAUGUUUGUAGUGUCAAAACAAUAACAAUGACAGAAGAUAAGAGUCAUGUUAAUGUAGGAAAAUGCUCCAAGGUGCUAAUAUAGUUUAGGGAUUGAAGAGAGAUGUCGACUGUUUUCAUUUGUUGUUUCUAACAAAUGAAAAAUAAAGCUUCUAACAGGGUCUUGCUAUAUAGGUCAGGCCGACUUUGAACUCGCAGAGAUUUGCCUGUCUCUGCCUCCCACGUGCUGGGACUAGAGACGUACACUGCCCCAAAAGGUGACAGUAGUCUCCAGAGCAACAGGACAUAAAGAGUGACUUCUCAGGGAGCAUGUGACCAGUUCAGAGGGGCAGGAAUCAUGGAAGUCCAAUUUUGUUGGCAAAGUAAGCUGACGCGUCCACUCACUUCCCUGCAUGACCUAGUUGUGCCCGUAAAAUGAGACUGAUAUUCAAGGUCUUUCUUGUCUGUUCAAAAGGGCCACCAUCUGCUUUUGAGAAAGGGAGUGGGUUCCCGAAUCAUGUUUUCCUGAAUUGAUUAAUGCCAAGGUCAUACUUAUAUGAGCGAAGACCAGUUGUAUAAAUUAUCUCCUGUCAGUGUUUUAUUUAUGGCUGUAUAAUAGAGGGACCUCCCGGGACAGAAACAAAAAAGGAGAAAGGGGGAAGAGAAACGGAUGACUGGAGGGAGAUGAGUGCCGCCCGCUCUGUGAGAGUUGAUAAUGGAAUUGAACAAGAUCAGUGGUGAACAGCAAAAGUAUAAGAACCUUAGUGAUCGGCCACGCACCUACCUAGCAUGUGCCCUGGGUUCUGCCUCCAGAAUUACAAAUAAAAAUAUCACACACAUUAAUUAACUAAGGACACUUUUUAAAUCCUAUAUAAAACAUAAGUGUGUCCAAUCCCCCAGAAAAUAAUAAUAAACCAUCAUCCAAAUGUGGUCCCUAAAUCCAUUAUAUUAUCAUUAAAUAAAUCCUCUGGUGUACUUCUCUGCACUAAAGCCGAGACCCCAGCACUUGGUGGUGAGGAGGGUAGGAGGGACAAGCCAUCUUCCCAGCCCCAACAGAGCAGAGCUAUCCUGAGACCCUGGAGAGGAACUUACCAGCUACUCAGUGUGAGAGGCUGCACAGAUUAGACUUCCAGUCAGCAAUGUAACCAAACCUCUAGUUCACUGCAUGCAUACAUACAAAAAUAAAUUAUAGAUCAAUAAAACUCCUAAAUGUUGAAAAUGGUAUCAAGUGCAGAUAAACAUUCUUUAUUAUUAGCGGAUUAGGAUAAAGCUAAUAAGACAUAAAGACAAGGAUUGGUGAUAUGAUAGCAUUAAAAUUGAGAGCACCUACAUAGCAGAGAAGAAUUACAAACUAAAAAUAAACCUUUAUAUAAUAGAAGACACCUAAAUUUAAAAGUCUAUCUCUAACUAGAAGAAUAUAUCUGUAAUGUUUGUAGAGCGAGAAUUCUGGUAUUUAAAUUAAUAGGUCUUUCUCAUCUUUUUAAAAAAGACUUAUUUGAGUGUGUGUUCCUGUGUGUGUGUGUGUCUGUGUCUAUGUGUGUGUCCCCGUGUUUGUCCCUGUGGGUAUGUGCACAUGAGUGCAGUGCCCAUGGAGACCACAAGAGGGCAUCAGUUUCAGAUUCUCAGGUACUGGAGUUAAAGGUGGUUGUGAGCUGUCUUAUGUAGGUCCUGGGAAGUGAACUUGGCUCCUCUGCAAAAGCACUCUGUAUUCUUGACCAAGUUUUGUUUUGUUUUGUUUUGUUUUCCAUUUUUUAUUAGGUAUUUAGCUCAUUUCGUUUUGUUUUUAAUUAAAAGAAAAACAACAUAGAAUCCAUGGUUUGAAAGUUGAGAAAGGGGUUGGAAAUUGGACUCAAAGAAAAGGAAGUAUGAAUAGUACAUACAUGAAAAACACUGGCUUCAGAAGGAGGCUAGGAAACAGAUUCAAGCAAGGGCAUCUCUUUCCACACACAUCAGAGUGACAAGAAUUACAGUCUGGUGAGUCUUGGGAUUAACAAGGAUGUGAGAACACAACCCAGCUUGGAAAACUGGAGGGAGCUGUACAGAGCUAUCACCUCUUUACAGGACCGUUGGCAGCGAUGGGGAAAGAGGAAAGUGUAUUCCCAUCUCCGUCUAUCUCACAGCAGAACCCUCUCGGAAUCACCGUGCUGUGCACAAGAGACAGGCGUCACGCCAUCCAUCCCACGCCGGCUGCAAUGGAAAAUAAACUAAAACUAUCCAGAGAUCUCCGAUGGAAAUACGCUGUGGUGUCGUUGCCUGGUGGAAAAUUCCACUGUGCGUUAGCUUUAAUGAAACAGAUUUACUCUGACAAAUUUCAUAAAGUGCAAUAGGCAAGCUAUAGAAAAAUGAGCAGCC
rnacentral:lncRNA from 1 species